rnacentral:rRNA from 1 species
AUACGUAGGGGGCUAGCGUUAUCCGGAUUUAUUGGGUUUAAAGGGUGCGCAGGCGGCCAUUUAAGUCAGCGGUUAAAUCGUGGGGCUCAACCCCAUUCUGCCGUUGAUACUGGGUGGCUUGAUUGCGGUCGAGGUUGGCGGAAUUCGUUGUGUAGCGGUGAAAUGCAUAGAUAUGACGAAGAACACCGAUUGCGUAGGCAGCUGACCAGACCGCAAAUGACGCUCAUGCACGAAAGUGCGGGGAUCGAACAGGAUUAGAUACCCUGGUAGUCCGCACAGUAAACGAUGAAUACUUGUUUUCGGCGAUAUAAUGUCGGAGGCAAAGCGAAAGCGAUAAGUAUUCCACCUGGGGAGUACGCCGGCAACGGUGAAACUCAAAGGAAUUGGCGGGG